UCAACCACUCAACCCAAUCUCAUCGCAGCCCUCGUCUCCCAUCGCGGCGCCGCCCCUGCGCCGACCCCAUCGCGACACCACCACGCCGCGCCCUCAGCCUCGAUGCCGCGCCGCCCUCAUCUCGACGCCGCGCCACCUCUCGACCCUCGACGCCGCGCCGGCCCCCGCGUGUCGACGUCGCCCCCCUCAUCUCGAUGCCACGCCUCGUCCCCGACGCCGCCCCUCCCGAUGCAGAGGCGGAUCCGGAUGAGGCGGCCGGCCGCAGCGCUGCGGCCGUGAGCAGGCUGGAGGAACGGAGCACGGCGGCCGGGGACGCCAGGUUGGUGGCUGCGUAGAGGAAGAGCAGCAUGUCGGCGAUUAACUCCUUGCCGGCCAUGUCGGACCCCCCCCCCCCCCCCCCCCCCCCCGCCCGCUCUCCAUCCCAGACCGCGACUGCCGCGCCUACUCCUACGCUUGUGCCCUCGAGCUCGGCGGCGGCUGCGACAGUGGAGGACGGCGGCAACCACCUCCAACAACAUCGUCCCUUGAUCCAGCCUGCUGUCAGACCCGUACGUCGUCGUCGGCAUCCGCAGCCACCUCCAACAAGAUCAUCACCUUCUGGCGGACCGCAGGUGAUGGCAGCUUCCUUCUGUCUUCCACUCAAUGCAUUCUGACUAUGCAUUAUGCCGUUGCCCAGAAUUUCUCCAGGAGACAAGGGGACUAGAGUUUCCAAAUCUGAUUUGGCAAGAAUUAACCGGGCCAAGCGAGCAAGUUUGUGCAGUCCUUUUCACCCCUUGUGCCCUUCUGUUGUAAUCUGGAGCUACUCAGGAGGAGGCUCAGGAGGCUUCUAACUGAGUUUGUGUGCUCUUAAAUUUGCUGUCAUGGAUCGUGCUUCUAUUUUAAUCUGGAGCUAUUUGGUAUGCUUUUGUGGUAGUCGGGACUCAGCAGGCUUCUCACUGAAUUUGUGUGGUUGUCGUUGGCAUCCAGCCGACCAACAAUGGUGUUUCUGAGCGUGAAAGCUCCAGGCGGGUGUAACUAUUUUGGGUUAACCCAUUGGAUCACUAGUGUAAAUGUUGUAAUGGGUCAGACUAACCCUAAACCCAAAAUAUUUACAUAUGGGUAGGCUGGGUCGGUCACCGGUUGACCCAAACGCGA